CAAUAGCGUAUAUUAAAGUUGUUGCGGUUAAAAAGCUCGUAGUUGGAUUUCUGCUGAGAACGACCGGUCCGCCCUCUGGGUGUGUAUCUGGCUCUUUCUUGGCAUCUUCUUGGUGAACGUUGCUGCACUUGACUGUGUGGAGCGCUACCCAGGACUUUUACUUUGAGGAAAUUAGAGUGUUUCAAGCAGGCAUACGCCUUGAAUACAUUAGCAUGGAAUAAUAAGAUAGGACCUCGGUUCUAUUUUGUUGGUUUCUAGAGCUGAGGUAAUGAUUAUUAGGGAUAGUUGGGGGCAUUCGUAUUUAACUGUCAGAGGUGAAAUUCUUGGAUUUGUUAAAGACGGACUACUGCGAANGNAUUUGCNAAGGAUGUUUNCAUUG
rnacentral:rRNA from 1 species